UACAUGUGGGGCAAGCGUUGUUCGGAAUUACUGGGCAUAAAGGGUGCGUAGGUGGCUUGUUAAGUCAGGGGUGAAAGUUUUCGGCCCAACCGGAAAAUGGCCUUUGAUACUGGCGAGCUCGAGUGCGUGAGGGGUAACCGGAACGAGCAGUGUAGCGGUGAAAUGCGUAGAUAUCAGGAGGAACACCGAUGGCGAAGGCAGGUCUCUGGGCAUUAACUGACGCUGAGGAGCGAAAGCAUGGGGAGCGAACAGG
rnacentral:rRNA from 1 species